UCCUGCCGGCAUGCUUAUUUUGGAUUUAGCCAAACAUGAUUUCCUAGAUGCACAUUAGCGUCCACACAUCUUCUUUCCCACUUGCACUGUCACACAGUCCCGAUCCCCUUUCUCCUUUCACCCGUUGACUCCAAAAUUGCUGCCACCGGAUGAGCUUGGUCAUCCUCACCAUCAGCCACGACAGCAGCUCGACUCGUUUAUGACGCCGCAGGUGACCAUCUACAGCAGCUGGUUUAGCUCCUCGUACAACUCCUCGGUCUCCCUAGGUCGAAGGAGCAGAUGCGCAAGGGAGCAGGCGAGAUCAUCGAUCUACACGGUGCCGUCCCUAUCAGUGUCCGUGUAGUUUAUUUGGGCGUGGAUUCUGUCUCUCGCUACUAUCUUGGAUCCAGCUCGAUUAUGAGGAUGGAAGCAAGUCUUCCCCAAGUGCGAGGCGGAUGCAUCGUGGCUAUUCCCGCUCGAUGCUACCCAGCAAGUCGUCGUCAUCCUCCACUGCGUCAACAUUCUUGGAAGUUCAAACUUUGAGCUGCAGGUCCCCCUUUUCCUUUUCCCGACUCGGUCAUAUUUAUAAUGUAAUUUAGGAAAUGUCUUGUAGUGGAAAUUUUUUCUUCAUUUUCCUUUAAAACUUAGUGAAACUUGUGAUUUUUGUUUGUAAGUGCUCUAUAAGUGUUGAAUGAGUUAGGUACUAAUAAGUUUGUGAAAUUUUAAAAAUGUAAGUACAUGUCUGAGUGAAUUUGCUUGGCUGCCAAAAAAGUAGCAAAAUUUGCUAAUGUUGUGGAAGAUUGACAUAAAUUUUUUAUUGAUUUAUUUACUUUAUUAAAUUGACUAUGAGUUUAGAGUGUAUUUAUAUACUAUUUUAUAUCCAUUUUAUCAUCUUAUCUACUGGCUGCUCUUGGAAUUCACUUGGAUUGACUUAAGGUGAAGGCACUAAAUGAUGAUAGUAAGUCUUGAAUGCCAAAUACAUAUUAAGGCGUAGUUUUAAUUUUUUUAUGCUCCCUCCACUUUUUCCGGGCUUGGGACUGGUGUUGGUAGUGUUAGGCCCCCUACCCAUAUUAUUGUUCAACAAACUUAAGAAUAAAUUAGAGCAUUUGUGAUUAGCAAUAGUUUAAAUAUUUUUAAAAGACAAAUGAAGAUAUGGUAACUGAUAUGAAAACAGGUCUGAUUGCAUUCUACAAUGUCCCGAUGCUCCCACUAUUGGUUUGCUCUAAAUAAUAAGCAUGCAAAAGCAGAUAGUGAAGUCAAUUUGCCUUUUUCGGGAUAGUUUACAAUGUACUAAAUUUCUAUAUAUGCAAUUCUUACGUAAUAGGCUAGUCUCCUCAGCUAGUGAAAGAAGUGUCAUGCUGAAAGUGUGUUAUUUGUUCAUACCUUUAGAAUAUUUGUACUAAAUCAACGACAAUAUGGAACGGAGGGAGUAUGUUCUUGACCACAUCAUCCUAAUUGCUAUCUUCAUCAUUUACCAUUACUUGCAGUCCAUCCCUUUUUGUGACUCUUGAGAAGGCUACAUAUAGUUGUCCAUGUGUGAAAACUUGUUUAGAUAGAUGUAGUUCUACCUUGUUUAGAGAUUGCCCCUCCCCUUUGUUGAUAGUCAUAGCAAAGCAAACCGAUAUAGAUAUUGUCUCCUUUCUAGAACGAACGGCCAUGCAGAUUCGGUUGGUGACAUGACUAUUCUUGGAAUAUAUAUACCAUAUAUCCUACAUGUGUUCCUGUUAUUAUUUGUGCUUUGAUGAAUUUUUUAUAAGUUGAAAUUGUCAUCCUUGCACAAUUGCAUAAUCCAUCACUUUGGUUGAUAUUACGCAGGAGCAUCACAGGUAUUCCAACUUUUAAUUUGAGCUUGUGAUUUAGGAUUACGGGAAACAAUAAUCUAUUCAGUAAUUGUGCUGGAUAUAGCAUUUUCGUCUCUGUAUUGAUGGUUGUUGCUUUGCAUACUGGGUUGCAGUUUAAAUAAGUUUUGUCUUCACAUUGUAGUUGAUCCAUUAUAUACUCAUUUAUAUCGCGAACUGUUUCGUUCCUUGGACAUAAUAUUGCUCUUCUAAGAAAUACCGCUUGCGAUACUACCACUAUUGCAAAUUUGGAUAUGCUUUCCACAAUUAUUAUUUUUAUCAUUUCCUUUCUUGAGUAGUAUGCCACUUUGUAUUUUUACCAUCUCCCAACCUUGUGACGUUGUAUUUUUUCCAGCACUAAUAUUCAGAAUCCACUAUGCAAAUUUUGAUACCCUUUGUUUCUCUGAUUCAUGAUGUGUUGUGCAGUUGAGUCGCAUGCUCUUUGUUAGUUUCAUUAUAUUAAUGUCCCUCCAAAGAUAUGACCUUUUAAUGGAUGUAGUGACUAUGUUGUGCCUUCUUCCCUUUGGUAUAACAAGAAGGAUCUGGCGGAAGUCCCCUCCUAGAACCCCUGUCAUGCCCCCGAACGGUCUCUCUCUGUUAUUCACUUUUUAAUUUCUUAAUAUAUCCCUAAGAGUCAUGUCUAGCGCCUCAAAAUAUAUCUUGUUUGCCAUUGGAGACUCGUCCCAUAGUAUUAGCAACGUCUUUUUUAGUAGGUAUGUCAAGUGUGAACCAUGUUUGAUGUGAUAGGCCGACUCUUCUAUAAGGAUUAGGUGGAUGGGGAACCUCGAGUGCGACGUUCCAUCUAUGUGUAGAAGCAGCACUACAAUACCACAUGACACCACUUCUGUUGAACAAUUCCCGGAGUGUGAUUGAUCGGCAUGAGUAACAUAUGUGCAGUUGAUAGAGGUGGUUUGAUCGCUCGACUGAGCCGAUUACAGUCGAGGAGAUUCAAGAGGAGAAUGAGCCACUUGAGAGAUGGUUGCCGCUGGAGGAAGCCAAUGUCGAAGUGUUGUUCACCCGAGGAAGACGAUAUGCUGGGUAAUCUGAAGUCAACAGGACAAUGAGUGGUUUGCAAAGUCAAGGUAUUUUAAGGGGCGAGUUGAUUCACAUGUGCAUGAUGGAAAGAGAGGUUGUUUGGAUCGUGAGAGUUUUGUUCUAUUUGUAGACAGAUUGUAUCUCUACUACCGACCGUGAGAGUUUUUUUGAUUGGGACACGGCCGUGAGAGUUUGAUUCUGUUGAGAUUGUAUCUCUGAUUGCUGUAAUUAAAAGGAGAUUGUAUCCUGAUCAGUUUUUUUAAUUGUUGGAAAUAUGCCAACCGAAUUAAAAGGUUUUUUUCGGAAAAA